GCUAGGCACGGUGGCUCAUGCCUGUAAUUCCAGCUACUCAGGAGGCUGAGGCAGAAUUAGUGAGGUCCUAGGCAACAUCGCAAGAACCUGUCUCAA
rnacentral:sRNA from 1 species